rnacentral:misc_RNA from 1 species
AUGCAAAUCAGAUAUAUCAGAGGACGGUUUGAACAUCCAGAAGGGAAAAACCCAGACUUGACAGAGGUUCUUGAUAUGUUAAAACAUGGAAUGAUAAUAGCUGAGGUUCAGUCAGAAGAUGAAAAGAAGAUAGGAGGAAGAAGAAGAGGGUGGUGAUAGGAGCCAUAACAUAAACUUGAACCUCUGAUCCGUGGUCUUUUCAGUAUACAUGGGAUAUAGUUGCUUUGCUUGGAUUCUUGAU